AAACCACCAUCCCUUCUUGCCCUACCACUGCAGAUCAGGGAAUCAGGUGAUAAGAAUGAAGAAUAGGUGACUGAGCCAAGAGUGAGAGAAAAAACUAAUAUAUAUUGCAUUCCUGCUAUAUGCCAAGCGUUAUGCUGCAUUAUCCAACAAAUAUUGCCACAUGCCUACCAUAUGCCAGAACUAUUUUAAACACUGGGGUUACAAAGUGACUCCAUCUACUAAAGAAUAAAACAUUAGAGCACUGGUUCUCUCCACUAAUCAACCGUCAUAGCCUUGGAAGUGAACUACCCCAAAUCUCGCAUCAUCAGAAUUAAUACUGUUUUAUACACGCUACACUUCCCAACCUUUCUGGAGUUAUGUACGGCUAUAUGGCUAAGUUCUGCCCAAUGGGAUGUAAACAGAAGUAUGAACAAUAUCAGACAUGUUCUGAUACAUACUUUUCUCAACCUAGCAUGAGUUCUCACUCCAGCUUAAGAACUGGCUGUAUUGAU
rnacentral:lncRNA from 1 species